AGGGGAUCGCAAGACCUUGCGCUUUUGGAGCGGCCGAUGUCUGAUUAGCUUGUUGGUGAGGUAAAGGCUUACCAAGGCUUCGAUCAGUAGCUGGUCUGAGAGGACGGCCAGCCACACUGGGACUGAGACACGGCCCAGACUCCUACGGGAGGCAGCAGUGGGGAAUUUUGGACAAUGGGGGCAACCCUGAUCCAGCCAUGCCGCGUGAGUGAAGAAGGCCUUCGGGUUGUAAAGCUCUUUCAGCCGGAACGAAACGGUUACGAUUAAUACCCGUAACUACUGACGGUACCGGAAGAAGAAGCACCGGCUAACUACGUGCCAGCAGCCGCGGUAAUACGUAGGGUGCGAGCGUUAAUCGGAAUUACUGGGCGUAAAGCGUGCGCAGGUGGUUUUGUAAGUCAGAUGUGAAAUCCCCGGGCUUAACCUGGGAACUGCGUUUGAAACUACAAGGCUAGAGUGUGGCAGAGGGGGGUGGAAUUCCGCGUGUAGCAGUGAAAUGCGUAGAGAUGUGGAGAAACACCGAUGGCGAAGGCAGCCCCCUGGGUCAACACUGACGCUCAGGCACGAAAGCAUGGGGAGCAAACAGGAUUAGAUACCCUGGUAGUCCAUGCCCUAAACGAUGUCAACUAGUUGUCGGGUCUUAACGGGCUUGGUAACGUAGCUAACGCGUGAAGUUGACCGCCUGGGGAGUACGAUCGCAAGAUUAAAACUCAAAGGAAUUGACGGGGACCCGCACAAGCGGUGGAUUAUGUGGAUUAAUUCGAUGCAACGCGAAAAACCUUACCUACCCUUGACAUGUAUCGAAACCCGCAGAGAA
rnacentral:rRNA from 1 species